AUAUUACUCCCUCUGCCUGGAAAUACUUAUCAGAGAAAUGGCUGUAUCUAGACAUAUUUUAGUUCUAGAUACAUCCAUUUUUAUUCAUUUCUCCGACAAGUAUUUCUGGACAGAGGGAGUAUGUU
rfam:Triticum aestivum genome assembly, contig: Triticum_aestivum_CS42_TGACv1_scaffold_306910_4AS